UACGGAGGAUCCGAGCGUUAUCCGGAUUUAUUGGGUUUAAAGUGUGCGCAGGCGGGAGAUUAAGUCGGCGGUGAAAUUUUGCAGCUCAACUGUAAAAGUGCCUUCGAUACUGGUUUCCUUGAGUGUGGAUGAAGUAGGCGGAAUUUGUGGUGUAUCGGUGAAAUGCUUAGAUAUCACGAGGAACUCCGAUUGCGCAGGCAGCUUACUAAACCACUACUGACGCUCAGGCACGAAGGCGUGGGGAUCAAACAGGAUUAGAUACCCU
rnacentral:rRNA from 1 species